rnacentral:lncRNA from 1 species
CCAUAUUUAUAAAACAACGUAUGACGAUAGUUGGUCAAAUAUACAAUCAUUACUCUUCACCCACAUCCGAAUCUAAAGUUUGGUCGAUACAAAGAUAUUUUAAAGGAAUUUCCCUCGCUUUGCACAUCCUAAGCUCAUGUCCUAUUCUAAAUCUAAAGUUGUAAGCCUCGUUUGGAGUCCACCUCGGUUCCUUCAUGAUGUUUAUCCGGUGCAAAAAGAAAUCUACGUAUUUUGCAACAUAAACGCCACAAUCGUCUGAAUUCUAUUGUCUCGGCCUACUCACGCAGACUUCAACUUUCGGCUUUGAUCUUGGCCACUUUGCUUUAUGGUUUUCCAUACGAAGCAACAAAGGAAUUAACUCCACCUAUAAACCAUAAAACAAUCAUUUAAUUCCCUAAACCUCAUAUGUUUGUAUGAUGGAAUGAAAAAGAAGUAAUAUAUUAAUGAACGCACCACAACACCAAACUAGUUUUGAUAUAAUUGUGACAAUGACAUUAAGGGUUUGUCAUCAUUAAGUGGAUCAAAUAGCAUUAUUUUUCACUUGUUCACACUCCAAAUAAAUAGGCAAAAAUGACUGUUGCUUUCGUUGAUGAAUGGAACGAAUAUGUAAUCAGACUCAUGAACUGGGGCACCAACUGGAGGAUUGAUGUAACUUGUUAAAAAUUUGAGUGUUGUUGAUUUGCUUACUCCGGCACUUGGUAAGUAUUGGAUGCCCAAACCCGCAAAGUACGUUGGCAUGAAAUAAAAGGUAGCCCAUCGUUGGAUUCCUUCACUCAUCAUCUUAGCUUCUCUGUCUCUCAACAAUAACAAAUAUGCAUCCAAUACAUGCGCCCAUAACCAACCAUUGGCUCUCAGACAGUUCACAUCCUUAAACUCUAAGUUGUAUAGAUCGCCUGGAUGGAUAUGAGGAAAGUAUGAUGGGUCGUGAGUUGGACUAAACCAAUAGUGAUUUAACCAAGUGAUUUUCUCAUUCUUUAAAUACUUGAGAAGGUGAGUGUGCUUUGUUCCCUCUCUCCCUCUAACCGGCAAUUUCCUACUGUGUUCAAUAGAAGGAGCAAAGCUAGCAUGAGUUUCUUUAUCCAUAUUUAAAUUCUCAUUUAAUUGUAUAAUUUAUUGUACAUAAUUAAUAAUAUUUCAUAAAUAUGCAUUUAAAAUAAAAAUACGACAAUUGAACUUAAUUUAUGGCCAGGGCAGGGGCAAAACUGCUCUCGAGAUAGUAAUUAACCUUUAACAAAAAGAUAUUAAAGUAAAUUUUAUAUAGUUAUAUAAACAAACUAGUACUAAUAUAUUGUGAAUUUUAUAUAGUUAUAUAGUGUAAAUUAUGUGUCUUGUGUUGAAUACACCUUCAAAAAAGUCACAAUCCAUAACAAAUAAAAUUAUUUUGUAACAAUCAUUGUAUCUGUAGAUAUGUAAUAAUCCUAGAUAUUUUUAAAAGUUAAAUAAAUUAUAUUAAUUUUAAAAAAUUAAAUUUGAUUAUAUACUUUGAAAGUAAUUUAUAAUACUAUUAGAAUUUUAAUUGAUUGAGAUAUGUAGUUAAUGUAGGUAAUUAGAAUUAUUGUUUAUUAUAAAUUAUUUUAUUAUUUUUAAUAUUUAUUAUUAUUACUAUUUUUGGUGUAGCAAGAUUUUGCAAAUAAAUAAAUAAAUAAAGGAAGAAGCCCGCGGCUCGGCCCGACCCGAGCCACGGGCCUCACAAUUUCAGCCCGCUAAAACACGGGCCAUUUUGGACCCGGCCCGAGCCCGGUCUGCCCACCCAUUUGCCACCUCUAAAAGGGGCACACUUGAAAUUUUUUGCCCUGGGCCUUGUAAAACCAGGACCGGCUCUGGUGAGCAAGUGGUAUUCAAUCAAUUCGAAAAGCAAUCAAAUAGCAGUGGCAAAACCAAGCACGCCAGCAGAAAUCUUCUUGUUUCUCCAUAAUAGUAAGACAAAAUACACUGCAUAUUGAGAGAGAUAAAGGGGUUUGGGUAGAUUAAAAGUCUUUUUCACACAAUUUAUAUCACACCAAUAUAUUAACCAUUUUACCUGACUAGCGCGAAGCUCAAGUGCAACCUCUUCUUGUGAGUUAGGCCACUAAUCAGUUCAAGCUUCAUCCAUCUGCUCCUGCACGAACCCAAAAGACAUACAACUAAGUUACCUUCAUUUGAAUUUAGGCCACUAGAAUAGUAAAAAAUAAGUGAACUGAAAAAAAAAAGUUACCUUCAUUUAGCUAACUGUUUAGCAACAAUAAAUUCCCUAAAUGAAUAGAUACCAACUGAAAACAGAAGGAAAAAAAACAACUACUUUCUUGACAAUGAAUAAAGCUUAAUUAGUUGGAUAAGCGAGAUAGGAAAUAUAUUAACUCAAAAGAAAAAGGAGAUUUGUCCAUCAAAAGAUGAUGUAUCAAGUACACAAGUCAAAUGUAAAACAUUAUAUUUUACUCUUAAAAUGUACUUAGUCUUCUAGUUUUAAAUAUGAAAAAUCAUUAGUGCACUUACAAGGAGUCCCUUGCGGAUAAAAUUGGAACUUAUUUUAUACUUCUCUCUAUUUUAAUCUCCUUAAUUUGUGUAAAAAGUGUACUUAAGACAUCUUUUGGGGAACAGAGGUAGUAGAAUAUUAACCAUUGCAUGUAGAUGGUUUCUUGUUAAGAUUUAACCAUCAAAAGGAUCAAUUAUAAAUCAUGAAAUUAAUCAAAGAAACAAAAGAAAGGGAAAAUAUACAU